rnacentral:rRNA from 1 species
AUUGAACGCUGGCGGCAGGCCUAACACAUGCAAGUCGAGCGGCGCACGGGACGGGGAAGGAAUGCCUAGGAAUCGGCCUGUGAGCGGGGGAUAACGUUCAGAACCGGGCACUGAUGCCAAAUACUUGCACAUGAGGCUAGGUCGGAUUAGCUUGUUGUAGGGGGAGAGGCCUACCAAGGCGACGAUCCGUAACUGGUCUGGGAGGAUGAUCAGUCACACUGGAACGUAGACACGGCCCAGACUCCUACGGGAGGCAGCAGUGGGGAAUAUUGGACAAUGGGCGAAAGCCUGAUCCAGCCAUGCCUCGUGUGUGAAGAAGGUCUUCGGAUUGUAAAGUACUUUCAGUUGGGAGGCGUUACCGACAGAAUAAGCACCGGCUAACUCCGUGCCAGCAGCCGCGGUAAUUC